rnacentral:rRNA from 1 species
UGCGUAGGCGGACUAAUAAGUCAGUGGUGAAAUCUUUCGGCUCAACCGAGAAACUGCCAUUGAUACUGUUAGUCUUGAGUUCGGUUGAGGUAGGCGGAAUGUGUAAUGUAGCGGUGAAAUGCUUAGAUAUUACACAGAACACCAAUUGCGUAGGCAGCUUACUAUGCCGACACUGACGCUGAGGCACGAAAGCGUGGGGAGCGAACAGGAUUAGAUACCCUGGUAGUCC